AUUGAACGCUGGCGGCAGGCCUAACACAUGCAAGUCGAACGAGUGGCGGACGGGUGAGUAAUGUCUGGGAAACUGCCUGAUGGAGGGGGAUAACUACUGGAAACGGUAGCUAAUACCGCAUACCAUCGGAUGUGCCCAGAUGGGAUUAGCUAGUAGGUGGGGUAACGGCUCACCUAGUCGACGAUCCCUAGCUGGUCUGAGAGGAUGACCAGCCAAACUGGAACGGAGACACGGUCAAGACUACGACGGGAGGCAGCAGGGGGGAAUAUUGCACAAUGGGCGAAAGCCUGAUGCAGCCAUGCCGCGUGUAUGAAGAAGGCCUUCGGGUUGUAAAGUACUUUCAGCGGGGAGGCGUUACCCGCAGAAGAAGCACCGGCUAACUCCGUGCCAGCCGCCGCGGUAAUUC
rnacentral:rRNA from 1 species